rnacentral:rRNA from 1 species
GCAAGAUACCACGGGCGCACGGCGGAUGCCUUGGCACAGGGAGCCGAUGAAGGACGCGGCAAGCUGCGAUAAUCCCCGGCGAGGAGCACACAUCCUUCGACCCGGGGGUCUCCGAAUGGGCGAACCCAUCCACAGCAGUGUGGAUAUCCCCGGCCCGAACACAUAGGGGCGGGGAGGACAACCCGGGGAACUGAAACAUCUAAGUACCCGGAGGAGAGGAAAUCAAUCUCGAGACUCCCCGAGUAGCGGCGAGCGAAAGGGGACCGAUGGCCAAACCGUCGAGCGGGCAUACCCGGCAGGGGUUCCGCCGACGGGGUUGCAGGGCCGCGCAUCCGGGGGCUGCCGCCCCCGGGCGCAGGUCCGGCUGGGGAGCGGAACGGCAUGGGAGGGCCGGCCGCAGCGGGUGACAGCCCCGUACGCGAACCCAGACCGGACGGCGCGACGCGGUCCCUGAGUAGGGCCGGGCACGUGAAACCCGGUCCGAACCUGGGUGGACCACCAUCCAAGCCUGAGUACUACCCUGUGACCGAUAGCGCACCAGUACCGUGAGGGAAAGGUGAAAAGCACCCCGGGAGGGGAGUGAAACAGUACCUGAAACCGUGCGCCCACGAGCAGUCGGAGCAACUUUACGUUGUGACGGCGUGCCUUUUGUAGAAUGAGCCAGCGAGUCGCUGGCGCGGGGCGAGGUUAACCGAAAGGGAGCCGAAGCGAAAGCGAGCCUUAACAGGGCGACUUGAGUCCCGCGCCGCGGACGCGAAGCCGGGUGAGCUAUCCGUGGGCAGGCUGAAGCGGGGGUAAGACCCCGUGGAGGGCCGAACGCACGUCGGUUGAAAACGGCGGCGAUGACCUGCGGAUAGGGGUGAAAGGCCAAUCAAACCCGGAGAUAUCUCGUUCUCCCCGAAAUAGCUUUAGGGCUAGCGUCGCGCGUUCACCGCCGGAGGUAGAGCACCGGAUGGACGAGGGGGCUUCGCCGCCUACCGAAUCCAACCGAACUCCGAAUGCCGGCGGCCCAGAGCGCGGCAGUCAGAGCAUGUGGGCUAAGCUGUGUGCUCGAGAGGGAAACAGCCCGGACCGCCCGCUAAGGUCCCCAAGUUCCAGCCGAGUGGCAAAGGAUGUGCGUCCGCCCAGACAACCAGGAUGUUGGCUUAGAAGCAGCCAUCCAUUCAAAGAGUGCGUAACAGCUCACUGGUCGAGUGGACAUGCGCCGACAAUACACGGGGCUAAGCUGGACACCGAAGCGGCGGGAUUUUAAUUCAUUAGAAUCGGUAGGGGAGCUUCCCAUGGGCGGAGAAGCCGGAGGGCGACCGACGGUGGAGCGCAUGGGAGUGAGAAUGCUGGCAUGAGUAGCGAGAGACGAGAGAGUAACUCGUCCGCCGUGAACCCGAGGUUUCCUGGGCAAGGCUAAUCCUCCCAGGGUCAGUCGGGGGCUAAGGCGAGGCCGGUAGGCGUAGCCGACGCGCAGCAGGCAGACAUUCCUGCACCGCGCACGCGGCGCUACGACCGACGGGGCGACGGAUGGGGGUGGCUCGGCGGGGUUCUGGACGUCCCCGUGAUGGAGCGCGGCCCGCGGACCAGGGAAAUCCGGUCCGCACGAAGGGCGAGGCUCCGGACGAAGCGACUGAGCGAAGCGAGUGAGCCCGAGGUCCCUAGAAAAACCCCUAGGCAGGCGCGUGCGCGCCCGUACCGCAAACCGACACAGGUGGGUGGGUAGAACAUACCGAGGCGAUCGGGUCAACCAUGGUCAAGGAACUCGGCACAAUGGCCCCGUAACUUCGGGAGAAGGGGUGCCCGCGCGUACGUGAACCGGCUUGCCCGGGGAGCGGAGGCGGGCCGCAGUGGAGAGGCCCAAGCGACUGUUUACCAAAAACACAGGACUCUGCAGAAGCCGCAAGGCGACGUAUAGGGUCUGACGCCUGCCCGGUGCCGGAAGGUCACGCGGAGGAGUUAGCCAUUUCGGCGAAGCCCCGAAGCCAAGCCCCGGUAAACGGCGGCCGUAACUAUAACGGUCCUAAGGUAGCGAAAUUCCUUGUCGGGUAAGUUCCGACCUGCACGAAUGGUGUAA